GCUGAGCGAAGUGGUGUACGCCUGUAAUCCCAGUAGCUUGGGAGGCCAAGGCAGGAGGAUCCUUAGCAAAACUGAGAUGUUAAGCAACUCAGUGAGAUCCUGUCUCUA
rnacentral:sRNA from 1 species